AUUCUGUUUCUAUUUUGAUGAUGCCCGUAGUCUGUUAUGGACUUCAAAUACUACUCUUUUAUUAGUAUUUAACUCGAUGCUUAAAACUUUAAGAUUAUAUGCAAUGAUAUGUAAUUAGAGAACAACCAUUUUUCUAUAAUGCUUCAUUUGGCAUCUGAUAAUCUUUUGUACCAAUGGUUCUUAUAUUGCUUUUUGAAGUUCGGUACUGAUUAUGAAAAGAACAAUUUCAAAAGUAUAAGUAAAAAGUGAAGCAAUAUAACAAAUAUUAAGCUAACGAUGUCAAUAACUUGUGAGGAUCCGACCGUUGGAUCAUCAUUUAAUUUCAAUCCGACCGUUGGAUCAUCAUUUAAUUUCAAUCCGACAGUUGGAUCAUCAUUUAAUUUCGAUCUGACCGUUGGAUCAUCAUUUAAUUUAGAAUCCGACCGUUGGAUUGCCGUAUAUGUGUGGUUUAUGAUUUGCUAGGUUGAGAUCGUAUCUGAUUAGGUACUUAACGGUUGGAUUGGAAGAGCGAUUGGAUAAUUGUGAUUUUUGCCUUUUUAGAAGACGCAGCUGGAUAAGAGCGGGUAAUCCUGCAGGUCAGGAGAACCAGGGUGGUGAUCGAGCUGUUUAGUGUAACAGUAUUUGAGUUAUCGCAUUUGCUUUUGUAAGGUGUGUAUUAUAUAACUCUGUGAGCGAGUAUGUAUUAUAGUUUGUAUCAGGGCAUCAGUGUACUUGGUUUAAAAAGGAAAAAGAUUUCCAGGUAUUUGAUAUUGAUGACUGAUUAUUCACGCAUGUAUAAUUAUGGGAUUAUAUAUAUUGAGUUUUUGUUUGUACAAAAAUCGGGGCGUGACAAUAAUAAUGUCUUUUCCAGUUUCAUUGACUAACUUGCUUUCCUGUCAAGUUGUAGUGACGUUGAUCCCAUAGUAGCAUCUUCUCUGCAGGAGCAUCAGAGAUGUAAAUAUUGUCUUGGAACUGCUUAUGGCUCAUCUUCUGAUGCAAUGACUAUAAUCCAACAAUGAUCUCCUAUUGUUAAGUGGUGAUUCUGGAUUUUGAGCAAUGGAAGAACUCUAUGCAGUAGUGAUUCUGUUUGAAAGGCUUUGGUUUUUUAUGCCAAAAGUUGUGAAUGCUUCUUUAAUGCUGAUCAAGACAAGGAUUUGGCAAGGCCAUAGUAGACAUAAAGAAACUGUUGGAGCAAUUUGAUAAGUACCAUAAUUUUCAAAAAUGCUAGAUGCAAGGUGCUUUUUAGUAUUAACUUUUUGAAGUUAUUCAAGAAACUGAUGUUGGCCUGUUUGGAGAAGUCAGCACUCAGCACUGGAUCUUCUAUUAAAGCUUUCAUGUGGCUGGAGACCCAAGAAGCAAGUGUAGAGAGAAGUUGUAGUAACUCCUCACUAAUCUUGAAGAAAUUUAAGGUUAAAUCUCAUUGUUUGCACAACAGCCUAUUGCAAAGAAUAUGAGAUACAUUCAAAUGAUAAAGGUCUGAGAUGUAUUGCCUCCAGAGGAUAUCUCGAGGAUAUCCCAAAGUUGGAAUAUCGCUUGGAGACAGUUUUAAAUAGAUACACAAAUAAAAUCAUUUUUGUUGAUCUCGCAGCAUCGCGCGAGGGGGAUUAUCUAGCAGUGGACUUGAAAUAGGUAUGAUUUUUAGCACCUGGGAAGCUGAUUUGAAACACUGUUCCUCUGAAAACGAACCCCAAUAUCAGUCUUUGACGAUGAUGAUAAUCACUUUUUCUGGGUCGGCUCUGUUUGGGAUUUUAUGGUUCUCGCGCGGGGGGAAUUCUUAGCUUUCAGCAAAAGAAGAGGUGUGUGCUUGGUUGGUUUUUCAGUUGUAUGAAAUAAAAAUUGAGUUUCUUUCCUUGCUA